ensembl:lncRNA MYRF-AS1 MYRF antisense RNA 1
AGGUGGGGCGGGCCCCACUGGAUGUGCCAGGGACCAGGACCAGGCCACGCUGGGCCAGAGCUGUCAUGGUUCAGGCCUUGCACACAGAACCACAGAACAUGCUCAACAAGCCCCCUAAGCUUAGGGGCACUGACCUACCCUGGGGACCAGUAAUCUUCAAGAUGAGAAAGCGGAGGCACAGCGGUGCCCUGAUACGGCCAAGAGAAGCACUGUGGGUAAGCAGGAGAGCUAGGAACAGACCCCAGCUGCCCUCGCUGGCGAAUGCACAGAACCAUUACAUCAUCCUACCCCGAGACCCAACCAAGAGGUACCCACACCCCGUGGCAGCCGGGGCUGAAGGCCUGGAGAUAGGAGAGGAGGCCCCACAUACUCCAGCACCCAAGGCAAUGAGAGAAACUGAGGCCCAGGAAGGUGCUAGGUCCGUGAAGAGGAAGGUGGGAAGGGCUGGGCAGUGAGCUUCUUCAGAGCUGAGGUUCUUCUCUGCCACCCCCUCCUGUCUUGCAGACUCCCUUAAGACAAUUGUUAUUCUCCACCCUGCCCCUCCUCCACCCGGGGUCAGGCCUGCCUGCGGACAAAGUAGACACCCGCCUACACCACGCGAUUCUGAGAAACGGAUUUACAUUACGAGUCGCCUGGGACCAGCCACAGAACCAGCUUCUCUACAAGCCUCCACAUACCCACGGAUCUUUCCUCCGUAUCCCACAUACUGCAUAACUGACCAUCAUCUAAGUUCUCACCACCAUCCGUUGAGCUACACAUUGUCCCUGUCCUGGUCAGCAAGGGCUGGAGGUAGAAGGGAAGACUCGUACUUUGUCCCUAACGCCCCAACUCCAUUGCAUUAUAAUCAAUUAAGAGUAUAGAUUAUUCAAUCUCUAGGGUAGCCUUGAAGUUGGAAGGGGUGGAAUGGAGCCUCCUGUUAACCCUGUAGCAGCUGACCUGGCUAAGGGAGCUCAGGCCCUGCCAUCUCCCCUGUUACACUAGGUCACUGAGCAAAGGAGCAACUGUCCCCAGGGAUUUUCAUCUCUGGACUGGAGGAAAGAGGUGGCUGAAAUGUCCCAGACUCAAGGGCUCAGCCAAGAGUUGAGGCUGCCAUCUGCCAACUCCAUAAUGAAGUUGGGUCCCAAGCAGCGCUGGGGCAGAGGCUGGGGCAGGAAGGUGGCUGGGCCGGUGAAAGUAGCCCAGGGGACUUGCAUACAAGGACCUAGGGGGGCCCAUCAAUGGAGAUGAGUCCUCAUCUGUGCCCCUGGCUUCUCUACCGAGCCACAGUGAGUGAGGGGCUGAGAUUUCAGCCCUAGCCCAGCAGACAUGGCUGUCCCCUGUAGCCAGCUCCACCUAGUCCCCAAGGCCUGCCCUCUGUCCUCAGAGGCCUCAUCUAUAAAGCACACUCAGUAUCCCUGCCUUACAGUGGAGGUAAAGUGCCAGGUCAGUGAUCAGUAAAUGGUGCCCUCUCCAGUUCCAAUCAGCUCUCAGCACCCAUCACUGUCCCUUGAGUGGGAGCAGGGCCAGGAGGAGGUGGUAGACCGAAGGCAGCACUGGGGAGAGGGAUGCUGGCACCUGAGGGUUAAUGGGUAAUGGGCGUAGAGGCCAGCCCAGGAGAAGGUACAGCCCUGUCCUCCCCACCGUGGGACUCUCCUGGCCUCCUGUGGACCCACACAGCACUGGCAUCAGGCCAUUUCGCAGAGGAAGAGGAGGGCUCAAAGUGGGGCAGGACUCCGCAAGUGGCUGCCCUCAUUCACAGGGGGCUUCAAGGGUCUUCUACUCCCUCCCUGCAACUCAAAGUGUGGCCCCGGGCCAGGGCACUAGCCGAGCAGGAGCAGGCUUUCUGUUCCAUCCAGGGAACAGUGGCAGAGGCCCCCCCGGCCCCCGGCCCCAUGCCAACCCCCUGCUCUGCUGCAACCUCGACAUCAAAUUUCUACCCAGUCCCCACCUGAUGCAAAGACAUUCGAGGCAGCCAGCGUGCUUCUACAUCCAGUUUAUACACAGCUCUAUACAAUAUACAGAAACCUUUAUAUACAGAUAUAUUUAUAGAAUAAGCUAUAUUAAUUUGUCUCUCCUUUUUACAGCAAUAUUAGUUUGGAUCUUUCAUACAUUAAGUACAAAAAAAGUCUGGGGAGAAUGGCACGUAAGAGAGUGCAUGAGGGUCUGUGGGGCCCGGCUGCUCGCUACUGAUUGCAUAUGGAGUCGCCCAGGCCCCUGGGAGGACAGGCCCGCGCACUUGUGCUGCAGGUCUGGGGAUGGAGUGGGGGUCGGUCUGAGCCGAACGGGGCUGAGGGGGGUGGCUCAGACCCCCCAGUGUGGUAUGGGGUGGAGGAGGGAGACGUGCAGCAGGCCCAUCCUUCAAGGGCGAGGUGGGUAGGAGCCAGGUUAGGGGUGGGCUGCCCCUGGGUGCCCAGGAUUGAGCCCAAGCCUGCCCCAGCCCCAAGCCUGAAACAUGGUGUGGCUGCAGCCUUGGGGGUGGGGGGUCUG